rnacentral:lncRNA from 1 species
CCCUCGUCCCGCUGGAGCCCGACCAGCAUCGCGCCCGGCUAGCGCUUCCGCGACCCGCGGUUCUCCUUUCUGCUCCGUCCCCGCCCCGGGGCUGCGCUCUCCGGUGCCCAGCUCGCGAGAUCUGAGGCGGCAGGGAGCGAGACGGGCUAGCGUCACCCCAGCGUGAGGUGGACGUGAGCGAGCUGGCAGGCCGGGCAAAAGUCUGCCUCGAUGCAGAAAGGGGAAAAGGGAAGUUUCGCACGGCGCCAGAAGAGCCCCUUUUUUUCACACCCCGAACUGGGACUUAUGUUUGCGAAUUCCGGGCCCGGCACGAGUCGCCCUACCUUCUUGUCUGAUGGACAGGCAGACCCAGCAAUCACACGCUGCCUUCCCAACUCUCCUGCCUAUGAGCGGUGCCCGCUGACGAGAGGGCUGCUCCCGGCCACGCCCCCCGGACGGGUCUCGCCUCAACUGCGCCCCUUCCCGCCUCCAGCGUGUGGGAAAUCGCUGCGCCGCGGUCCGCGCGGCGAGGAGCGCUGCGGCGUCCAGAGGGCACCCAUCCUUAGUGCGUGGAACUCCUGAUACGUUGGGUCGCGCUUCCCUCUCACUGAGAAGUUACGCAGCGGCAAGACAUUUCGCACACGCUGCUAAGCCUGCGGUAACGCUACACUAGGUUUUUUUUUUUUGUGUGUGAAAAAUUGACUUCUCGUUGUUGAUUCACAAUACUUGAAUUAGCCUAUAGUUUAGUUUAAUUAACCAACUGCCGAACAACCACGUUUUAAAAGCAUUACAUAGAAAUGCCUUUCCUCUACCCCCUUCUUCAGAAAAAGCCUGCAAGUACCACAAAGCUCAAUCUCAUCACCACACCCAAACAGCAGAAAGCAGUACAGAAGUUUACCUCUACGAACUUAGGUAAGGAACAUCAUCCUUAAUAAGUACUAUUCUGUAGAAGAUGCUUGCAAGGCCCCAUAGUCUUCUGUUAGAACUAAGUUAAAAAUAAAGGUUGUUGUAGGGUAUUGUUUGCUUGUCAUGUAAACCAAUGUGCUUAUCUUUUACUAUAUGUCUUUUUCUGCUUUUAUCCUUAACUAAAUCAAAUACUCUAUGUUUUAUUCACAAUCAAAGUCUUAGGGCAGAAAUUCUCUCAGAACCACAUCUUCGUAGCACCACUUUUAGUCAAACUUCCAUCACAGGUCAGUGCAGCAUACAUUUCUAAGCACAUGCCAUGCUACUUGUUGAGAGUACAUGAGUAUACUCAAAGGAGCUUUAAUUAAGGUAUCUUUGCCAAUAGAAGGAAAGAUGGAACAGUGUAACAAGCUUCAUACUCAGUAUCUAGAAUCUGAAGAUAGUUCUGUGCUUAAGCCUAUUCUUUGAAAAUACACCUUAGCUAGGUUUGUAUAUUUAGGAUGCAAACAUGGCUAUCAAAAGCUGUUUGCAGAUAGCUUACAUACCUUUGGCAAGAUCACAAAUAUUGCUUUGAUUGCAUGCAAGUGCAGUUAGAUACAUUUUAAACACAGAAAAUACUUAAUCUUCCUCUUCUCCCCUGUGAAAAUGUACUAAGUAUUUAUGGUUUUUAAUUCUAGCAUUUCCUCUUAGCUUUUAUAGUAUGACUCUACCUUAUAAAAUGCUUCCAGAAUGUUUUCACCUCAUACUUUUCAUUAUAAUCAUUUCCAAGUGCUAUUUCUAACAUUUGAUCAAGCCUACAGUGACAUCUUGUGGCAUUUCUUUUUUUUUUUAAACUAGAGAAGCAAUCUUCUUGUAGCCUUAUCACAAUUUCUGGGCUGCAUCCUCUUUAAAAAUUACAGAUUUGUACUUCAAUAAUUUUUAAAAAAUAGUUUGGUUUUUUUUCUCCCCAAUAAAAGAUUUAAGUAUAUAUUUCAGAUACCACUUAAAAUCCCGUGUCACACAAACACCAAUUUCUACAGAAAAUUCAGAGGCAGUAAUAAAGCUGUUAAGACUCCAAGAUACUUCAAAAUGACAUCUACACAAUCUCUUACUACAAUAAAAAAAAGUUAAUACAAAAGUUCUUAGUAAAAUAUUUCAAAGAAUUUCAAGACACUUCUAUAACCAUCAAGGGACAAAUUCAUUACUUACAAAAAGUUAUCAGCCCUUAACACAAAGAAACGUCUUUUGUUCCUAGACAAAAUGAAUAAUGGCUAGACCUGAAGUCUGAUCUUUGAAUUUUCUAAGCCUAACUCAUUUCAGGUGGUGUUUGGUUCUUUUAAUAUUUGUAUUAUUAUUAGUUGUCACAUGUAAGCCUUGCCUAAAUAAAAUAAUCAUAUGCCAGCAAAUACCUGUAAUAUAUUUUUUUAAAGAGCUCUUGUUACUGCUUAUCUGUAUUGAACUUAAGAGCUUAUUUCAGACAUCUAACACUGAAAACUUGGUCAAUAAUGUUAAAUAAACACAGAACAAAUUUAUGUAUUUUAUUUGACAAGGCUACAAAUUAAAUUUACCAUAAUAAUAAAAGCUUGUUCUAUUCAUUCCUUCACUGAUACAGUAGAGCUCCCUGCUAAAAAAAAAAAAAAAAGAAAACAAAAAAAACUGAAACAAAAAGCCCCAAAUAAUCCCUUCUCCCUCAAAAAAAAAAAAAAAAGCCCAAGAUGAAGACUUGGCUGAGCUGACAGUUCACUUUACAUUUUAAAAGGUAAAAAAAUAACUAAAAUUGUGAAAAUGUAACAGAUAAUAAUGUACAGAAGAGAAAUUACAGAUGACUAAAAAUGAAUGAAAUGCAGGAAGCUAGUACUGGCUACCACUAGUAAAGUUGCACUUCUGGAAGCCUCAUAGUUCUGUUUGAAUUUUAUUUAUCACUACAGCACAGUAAAUACAAAAUACUAUUUCACUAUAACAAAAUUGAACAGAUUUUAUGUUGCUACACAAAGCUUUUUUCUUCUUAAAUCUUACAGAAAUAUUAGGAAGUCUUCACUGAACAUAAAUUCUUUAACACUGAUAGAAAAAAACAGAAUCCUCUGUCCUCCAGAAAGAAACCCAAAGAGUCUGUAUCCAGAAACAGUUGUAAGAAUGUCACAUAUUUCACAGAUUGUUUUUCUUCAGGUAACUUAUUAAAAAAUAACCAUACACCAUCUGUGUAGACAGUGUUUAUAUUGUAGACAUGAGCUGUUAUUGAUUGCCAACUUUUGAACUGUUACUGAAAAUAAAUUAAAACUGGCAUAGGUAAGACUAAACCUAAAUCAGAUACCAAAUUUGAUUCUUCUGAUACAAGAAAAUUUUAAAAAUCUCUGCCUUCUUUGCUUUUCACCCAUACCACAAAAAAGUUCUGUAGCUACAGUGGAAAGUUUUAACAUGGGGAAAAAAACUGUUUCUAAUAAAACAGAAGUUAUUAAAAAUUGCUAUUUCUUGCCACAGAUUGAGCCACAAUUCAGAGACCGAUAAUAGUCCAGUCCUGUCACAUAUCACUGUACCUUAAAACACAUUUUUGUUUUACGCACUCAUUGCAGAUUUUAAUUCUGGCAUCAUAGAUGCCAAAAACAGAGAUAAAAGAAAUCAAAGAGUAAUCAUUCAUGUGAAAGAUUGGUUUCAAAAAAGGUAAACCUGUAAUAUUACAAAAUGUACAAACUAGAAAAAAAUGUACAACAGCUUGCUCUCAUUAGCAAUUGCAAAUAAGACUGACUUGGGCAUGUUCUCCUAACAACAUACACAUAGUAUACCAAAAGAAAAUUAAAUACUAAAGACAGCAUUGAUAAGCAAUCUCAUUGAUUUGACUGCAUAUAUAAUUUUCAUAUUUUAUGUAUUCAUGUCUUUCUUUCAUUUCCAACUGCUAAGUUCCACAUUUUAACUGUUUGCAAUGUUUCGGCAACUCUAGGCAAAUUAUUAAUAAGUUGUAUCAAAGAAAUUAUUUUCCACUACCUCAGCAGUAGUAGAUAUUGUAGGCAAUGGCUCUAGAACUAAGAUGAAGGUGGGGUACUCUCCUUCUGGUUCUUGAAACUGCUGUGAAGGCAAACCUCGGAAUACAGAGCUUACAUACAGAUGUAAAGGAGUUUUGUACAGAAAUCUAGGAGCCUAGUCAGUUUGUUGUAGCCCUUUUACAGUUACACUUGGAAAUGUGUGGAGGAGAAGGAAAGGGGAAGCAGGGGAAGGAAGCAUCUCAACACAACAAAAACAUGCUUAGAUCUCAUUUAGCUAGGUACACAUUAAAAAUAAAAAUCUGAUUAUGAACACUGAAGUAUAGGGGUACAUUUUUAGGGGGCUGCAUGUUUCUGAAGAAGUAGCCUAGUUGUAAACACUUUUCAGAUUAUGGGAAGAGGAAGAUUUUAUAUAUAUCUUAAUGUUUAGUUGUAACAUUUAAAGUUUUCUGAAAUUUCACCUUAGUGACUGGUAAGAAAGAAUGGGAGGGGGGAAUGACAUAAAAUGCCAUAUGAAAGAAACUCAGAGGCUACAAGUAAGGAUGGCCAAGAUGCAGUAAUUACACUUCUUUCUCUCCUUGCACUCAGUAUUGCCAUCUAACCCCUUAAAUUCAUUGGCUUACCCUCUACUUUUGUGAUUGGCAUAAUUAGGAAACCCAAAUUGGGAAAUCAUUAUAUUAGAAUAUUUUAAAGGCAUGCCAUCAUAAACAUUAACUAAUUUAUUUACACAAUAAGAUCUCUGUAACAAAUGCUCUGCUCGGUGCCACAUCCCAGAAUAGCCACUGUUAGUGUCUUUUUCUAAAUUUCUUAAAUCAACAGGCUUCACAAACACUCCUGAAGGCUUUCCAAUAUGCUUUGCUACCAGAAAAUUCAUGGCAAUAUCAUCACAAUUCUGAGUUUCAUCUAUUAAAGCAUGAACAGCUUCUGGUUGUCUUUGAAAGUCUUCUAAAUACUUACAAUGAAAAAAUGCUGCACCAAUAAGAACCAUAGAAUAUUGAUCUCCAUUUCCAAAUCCUGGGUUCUGCAGUUCAAAGCUGCCAUAACUGUAUACACCUGAGGGAGUAGAUACGUGCUUCCUAGGAAUGAAUCCCACUAUACGUUCUGGAAAUUGCUGAAAGGAAAAGAAAUCGAAUAUAUACAAAUGAAGAGCGCACUGUGAAAUCAAAAUACAUUAAAUAAUUUCAAGAAAGACUUUUUUAAUGAGAGGAGCAUAAGCUUAUGGCCAGAAAAGAGAGAACAAAACUGGUGGUAUAUGCUCUUCAAUCUACAGAAAGAUUGCGUUUUAGUAAAGUUUUACAAAAUUGACAUAAUUUGCCUUAUUCCUCACCUAUCUUCAAUUUGCAGCUGUAUACUCGGCAGUGAAAAUUAGCUUACAGACAACUCUUAGAGAAAAUGCUCUUGUUGUUUAGAAACAUACUCCUAACUUAAAUAAGUUCAGCAAUCAGCAGCUAAUACGUGCAUGUAUAAGAAGAAUUACAAGUUUGAAAACUAUAGAUUACAGAUAUAUGAAGAAGAAUAUUUUUCCAAUUUCUACUAUUCAAUGCUUCAUGUAUUUUGAAGUUGAAUUUAAGGAAAGCAAUGGUAGAACACUAUGAUAUAGUACUACUCUUUCUAAUUAAAACCAUUAAUCUCAAUUGUAACUCACAAACGCUGCCUCUGCUAAGGUAGAAAACAUUACCUGCCAAACAGAAAAGGCAAAAGCAAGGUCAUGAGCACUGACGAGUGUAUCAUCAUCUAUCAUUAAAACAGCUAAAAAAAAAGAAAGUUUUAUCAAAGCAUUAAAAUACAUGGGCAUGGUAUGCAAUACAAUAUUUGACAUACUGUGAAAUUUCUAUAACAAAUAAGCUACAUUGAUGAUCUGAAUCAUAACUCCCUGAAAGCAGAAUCAGAAAACAGAUUUUAAAGCUAAAACAAAGCUAUAGCUCUGUAAUAACUAGAAGUUACACUACAUUUUAGAUUAUUUACUAGCCUACAAUAAAACCCAGCAACCUCUGGCCAUCUGCAGUGCAGCUCAAUAGAUGUUAUGUUGGAAAACCUGGUGCAUGUACUUGGCAAAGCAACUUCAAAUUCUACUAAACUUGUGAAACAUACAACUAAAAAGUUAAGAACCAUUCUUUAGUGAACGAGAUUUAUAAGAAAUUUUAAGUACACGAUUUUUACCUACCUCCUCCCUGCUUGCAAGUUCUAAAUGAGGAAACUUAAUAAAUUGUAUUAGUAAUGAUAUGACUAAUCAUGAAUGAAAAAAAAAACUUUAAAUUUUAAGCAAAACACUGUUGGAAGAGUGAAGAUAUUCUUACAUCCCAAGUCCAGAGGCUUUAAUGCAUCUACAUUUAUAGUCAGCACAAUCCUAUUAGUUUAAAAGACAAACAAAACAAAAAAAAAAAAAAGAAAAAACACUGGGGAAAGUGAAGCUUCUAGUACCUUGCUAGUAGCCAUAGACUGAAACAUGUUAGGAAGGAAACAGUAAACAGAAUUACCCUUACUAAUCACCAGUAAGGUCAGGUCUGUCAUGCAAUACUUGUGGUAUUCCCCCCCCCCCCCCCAGUUGAAACAAACAGGCUUCAUUGUUGUGCUUCCCCUAGAAAGAGCUUGGGAAGAAUACUUAGAUGAAUAGCCAAAGACUAGGGAAAACACUGUUAAAAAGUAUGCAUGAAUUGAGAUAAAAAUUCAGACAGUUAAGGCAGGUAAGUUCAUCAGAAGAGCAGAACAUAGUUGAGAACCUUGUCUUAAAAUUGAUGAAUUAAGUCAUCUGCUUAUUAAAUGGCUUAUGUCUAAAUUAACAGAGACUGAACUACCUAACUCUCCACAACACAGAAAAUAGACAACAAACACAGUUGUACAACCCAACAAAAUGCAUUUGAUAGCUGUUUCUCCUUACUACAAUGCUUCUACCCUGCUACUGCUACCUACUGAGUACUAGCAUACAAGCUUCUCUUACAUCCCCAACAUUCAAUUAAACAGCUUAAUAGCUCUAAAGAUUACUAGAAAGUACAACUCAGACUCUUUUAUAGCUUUGUAGGGGAACUGUUAGGUCAGGACUUGGACUGGUGAUUGAGCACCUGCUGAAGGGGUGUGGCUGGCCCAGAAAGUACAGGCAAAUUGUUUGCACCUGUGCUGCCCAUCUGACCAGAAGGGGUGGAUCCAGGGUGGAGGCACCUUGGGCUCAUAUAAGGGCUAGAUACUAAAAAGAGAACAUCUCUUAGUGCAAGGUUGCUUCUUAGAGAGUAUUGUGUUGUUAGAGCAGCUCUGUCAACAGUUGGGUAAGUUUAACAGCUUAGUUCUUCUUUCUUUAUAUUAUUCUUUGCCUACCUGUAAAUACUUCACCUAGUGUUGCAAAGAACCUGUAAGGAGAAUUUUGUUCCUUCAUGGGAAGAACAAGCAUGUAGCUUUUAUGUAUAAAAAUAUAACUAGAAGUAAUGUGAUCUGUUCAUUACCUUCUGUUUCCAGUUCAGGGAAGUUCUGGAGCCUGUUCCUCAUAUGGUUUACAGACUGAGCUUUAAAAAUAACAGGGACAGGAUGAGGACCUAAGGAAUUCCACAUUUCCUCUGGCAUUUUCUCUCCAACAUUAUUCCACACAACAAUUACUUUAUGUAAAUGGGGGAUGGCUUGAUAAUGAUUUAAUAGCUUUAGUAGCAAGUCAGUUCUAUUAUAUGUCUGCAUAAUAAGAGUAAAUGAAUCCAGUGCAGGCUGACCCUGGGUUUUUGAUUCCCUUUUAAAAUUAGGCGCUUUAUCAUCUUUGAUACUGGGGAGCAAAGCUGUUAAAGCUCCUGCCACAAGAAGUAAGAUGAUGAUCAUCACAGAAGUGGAGUAUAGUAGGCGGAUUCUCAUAAUUCUUCCUGGAAGUUUACAGAGGCUUUCAUUGCAGAAUUCUCACUAAGUGAAGUGAUCCAGGAAAGUCUCAUCAAUUAAAAUUUGCUUCUUAACAAGUUUUGAUCACUUUUUUCUGCAGUGCACAUACAAUGACUGAAAUGAAUUAUAUUAUUAUUUUAAAAACUCUACCUACCUCAUCAUUGCCAGAUGAGACUGUUUCCUCCCUGUUGUUUUUAUAGGACAGUUGUUUGUGAUCUUAUAAUCUGCUGGCAAUUAAAAGAAGUUGCAACUGAGGAUAAACAGCUAACAUCCAUACUACUCUGCAUCUUUUGGUAUUUUAACAUUCUUUUUGCUUCCUGACUGCUGUGAAUGUUCUUGGCAAUUACCCAAUCUGUUUUUCUAUUGCUUAGCUGAGAAAUUGUCUCUGCAUUUCAAUGAUCUUUCCCAAAACUGCUAAACCAGCUGGUUAGAAAAGAAGUCAAACACAUUACUUAGUUCACCAGGAAGCACUACCACAGUAAGCCAAGCUGUCCCAGUAACAGUGGCUUCGUUUUUGGCUCAUCCUCUUCAGACUCUCCUCCCUCUAAAUGCACCAGGUGCUUUACAGGCUUAAGGCAUUGAGUUUGUUUUCCUACCUGGUAUGCCAGAUAGCAGAAUGGGAAGCAAGCAAGUGCAAAUACAAAAAGGAUUACACAAGAUGCAGGGCAGUAACCCAAUAAAAUUGUAUUUGUUUCUUUGGUUGCUGGGGAGGAAUUUAAUUUUUUAAAACUAGUUGAACAAAGAAAGGGAGUAUUUUUAUUUAAGAGUGGUACUAUGAAAAUUUAGAGGGCAAGGAAUUACAUUAAUAGCUUUUAAAAUGUGGAAUUUUAUGAUAGCUGAUAAAAAUGAAUGUACACAUAAUGCAUGUAUGUACACAGCCUGUUAGUCAGCAUGCCCAUGUCUUCCUGAGCCUGAGGUCGUCCACUUCUAUCAUGACCUAAUUUUAUGAGGCUGCGGGAGUCAUUGAAACACUUUCUGAAAUUAACCCCUGGUUUUGGUUGCUUCAUCUUAUAGUUUAUAGGUGCAGCUGGCAGCAGUUGCUGUGCUUUGCUGAGGC